rnacentral:rRNA from 1 species
CAUAAGCGGGAAAAACUAACAAGGAUUCCCCUAGUAACGGCGAGUGAAGCGGGAAGAGCUCAAAUUUGAAAUCUGGUAGCCUUCGGUUGCCCGAGUUGUAAUCUAGAGAAGUGUUUUCCGUGCCGGCCCAUGUACAAGUCCCUUGGAACAGGGCGUCAUAGAGGGUGAGAAUCCCGUCCUUGACAUGGACCCCCGGUGCUUUGUGAUACACUUUCAACGAGUCGAGUUGUUUGGGAAUGCAGCUCAAAAUGGGUGGUGAAUUCCAUCUAAAGCUAAAUAUUGGCGAGAGACCGAUAGCGAACAAGUACCGUGAGGGAAAGAUGAAAAGCACUUUGGAAAGAGAGUUAAACAGUACGUGAAAUUGUUGAAAGGGAAACGAUUGAAGUCAGUCAUGCUUUUGGGACUUACCUCCCUUGAGUGGGGUCAACAUCAGUUUUGAUCGAUGGAUAAAGGCACGGGGAAGGUAGCACUCUCGGGUGAACUUAUAGCCUCGCGUCAUAUACAUUGAUUGGGACUGAGGAACGCAGCAUGCCUUAUGGCCGGGAUUCGUCCACGUACAUGCUUAGGAUGUUGACUAAUGGCUGAC